CCUACGGGGGGCUGCAGUGGGGAAUAUUGGGCAAUGGGGGAAACCCUGACCCAGCGACGCCGCGUGGGGGAAGAAGGCCUUCGGGUCGUAAACCUCUUUUGUACGGGAAGAAGAAGACGACGGUACCGUGCGAAGAAGUCCCGGCUAACUACGUGCCAGCAGCCGCGGUAAUACGUAGGGGACGAGCGUUGUCCGGAAUUACUGGGCGUAAAGGGCGCGCAGGCUGCGCGUCGAGUCGGCUGUGAAAGAUCCGGGCUCAACCCGGUGAAGCGGUCGAGACCGACGUGCUGGAGUGCUGCAGAGGCAAGUGGAAUUCCCGGUGUAGCGGUGAAAUGCGUAGAUAUCGGGAAGAACACCGGUGGCGAAGGCGACUUGCCGGGCAGCAACUGACGCUGAGGCGCGAAAGCCAGGGGAGCGAACGGGAUUAGAUACCCCAGUAGUCCU
rnacentral:rRNA from 1 species